AUAGGUAUUGGCAGGGGAGAUACUAUGAUCAUGAAAGUGGUUUUCCCAGGCUCAUCCAUUCCACUGCGGGUGUGAUGACCCCUGCGAUUUCCCCAAAUGCGGGAAACUCGACUGCAUAAUUUGUGGUAGUGGGGGACUGUGUUCAUGCUUUCCCCUG
ensembl:snRNA U1 U1 spliceosomal RNA